rnacentral:rRNA from 1 species
UACGUAGGGGGCAAGCGUUGUCCGGAAUCAUUGGGCGUAAAGAGCGUGUAGGCGGCCCGGUAAGUCCGCUCUGAAAGCCCGGGGCUCAACCCCGGGAGGCGGGUGGAUACUGCUGAGCUCGAGUCCGGAAGAGGCGAGUGGAAUUCCUGGUGUAGCGGUGAAAUGCGCAGAUAUCAGGAGGAACACCGAUGGCGAAGGCAGCUCGCUGGGACGGUACUGACGCUGAGACGCGAAAGCGUGGGGAGCAAACAGG